CGCUGGCGGCGUGCUUAACACAUGCAAGUCGAACGAGAAGAGAUGAGAAGCUUGCUUCUUAUUGAUUCGAGUGGCAAACGGGUGAGUAACGCGUAAGCAACCUGCCCUUCAGAUGGGGACAACAGCUGGAAACGGCUGCUAAUACCGAAUACGUUCUUUUUGUCGCAUGGCAGAGAGAAGAAAGGGAGGCUCUUCGGAGCUUUCGCUGAAGGAGGGGCUUGCGUCUGAUUAGCUAGUUGGAGGGGUAACGGCCCACCAAGGCGACGAUCAGUAGCCGGUCUGAGAGGAUGAACGGCCACAUUGGGACUGAGACACGGCCCAGACUCCUACGGGAGGCAGCAGUGGGGAAUCUUCCGCAAUGGACGAAAGUCUGACGGAGCAACGCCGCGUGAACGAUGACGGCCUUCGGGUUGUAAAGUUCUGUUAUACGGGACGAAUGGCGUAGCGGUCAAUACCCGUUACGAGUGACGGUACCGUAAGAGAAAGCCACGGCUAACUACGUG
rnacentral:rRNA from 1 species